GAUAAACGCUGGCGGCGCACAUAAGACAUGCAAGUCGAACGGACUUAACUCAUUCUUUUAGAUUGAGAGCGGUUAGUGGCGGACUGGUGAGUAACACGUAAGCAACCUGCCUAUUAGAGGGGAAUAACAGUGAGAAAUCAUUGCUAAUACCGCAUAUGCUAACAGUAUCGCAUGAUACAGUUAGGAAAGGAGCAAUCCGCUAAUAGAUGGGCUUGCGUCUGAUUAGCUAGUUGGUAAGGUAACGGCUUACCAAGGCAACGAUCAGUAGCCGACCUGAGAGGGUGACCGGCCACAUUGGGACUGAGACACGGCCCAA
rnacentral:rRNA from 1 species